rnacentral:rRNA from 1 species
GAUGAACGCUGGCGGCGUGCCUAAUACAUGCAAGUCGAGCGAACAGAUAAGGAGCUUGCUCCUUUGACGUUAGCGGCGGACGGGUGAGUAACACGUGGGUAACCUACCUAUAAGACUGGGAUAACUUCGGGAAACCGGAGCUAAUACCGGAUAAUAUUUCGAACCGCAUGGUUCGAUAGUGGAAGAUGGUUUUGCUAUCACUUAUAGAUGGACCCGCGCCGUAUUAGCUAGUUGGUAAGGUAACGGCUUACCAAGGCGACGAUACGUAGCCGACCUGAGAGGGUGAUCGGCCACACUGGAACUGAGACACGGUCCAGACUCCUACGGGAGGCAGCAGUAGGGAAUCUUCCGCAAUGGGCGAAAGCCUGACGGAGCAACGCCGCGUGAGUGAUGAAGGUCUUCGGAUCGUAAAACUCUGUUAUUAGGGAAGAACAUACGUGUAAGUAACUGUGCUCGUCUUGACGGUACCUAAUCAGAAAGCCACGGCUAACUACGUG